AACGGCCAUACCAUGCAGAAUAUACCGGUUCUCGUUAGAUCACCGAAGUCAAGCAUCACUGGCCGCGGUCAGUACUUGGGUGGGUGACCACCUGGGAACACCGCGUGCUGUUG
rnacentral:rRNA from 1 species